rnacentral:misc_RNA from 1 species
GUGAAUCAUCGAAUUUUUGAACGCAUAUUGCACUCUCUUCGGAGAGUAUGCCCGUUUGAGGGUCAGCCUAGAAAAAAUUGACAUAAUCGAUGUUUCGCGGUGACUGGCGUCGGAAGUUGGGUCUUCUUAAACCUUGGGGUUUUAAGAGGUUUAAAUUUUUCUUUACGAUUCCACGAACGUUUCUAAGAUUUACUUCUUACACGUUUAAGGUAUGG